UACGGGGGGGGCAAGCGUUGUUCGGAAUUACUGGGCGUAAAGGGCUCGUAGGCGGCCAACUAAGUCAGACGUGAAAUCCCUCGGCUCAACCCGGAAACUGCCAUUGAUACUAUCUGUCUUGAAUAUCGUGGAGGUAAGCGGAAUAUGUCAUGUAGCGGUGAAAUGCUUAGAUAUGACAUAGAACACCAAUUGCGAAGGCAGCUUACUACCCGAAUAUUGACACUGAGGCACGAAAGCGUGGGGAUCAAACAGG
rnacentral:rRNA from 1 species